AUAGGACCUCAGGACUCAUCAAUAUUUAUUGGUGAGCUGCUGCUUGACUAUCAUACCUCCACUGGAACAAUAUCAAUUGGAAGAAAUGGAUUCCAACAGCAGCCCAAAGGCAAUUUUCAAGAAUAGCAGUUUGAGGGGAUAACCAACAAUUAUACCAUACGAGAGGAGAGUGCUGACUGGCUGGAACGUGACAGUUACAACGGAGAUUGGACAGUCUUUUUGCCAAUGCCAGCUGGAAGAGGUUCUGCGGGAACUCCCCCUCACUUCAUAUUUGGAAGAAACAGAAAAGCAAGUGGUACCAAGCAGAUCAAGACUCCUGUCAGG